AGCCGAGCUCGGGGCACACCCGAGCUCGGACCGGGCUGGCGCGGCUCCCCGAGCGUUGGUGACCUCAUGCCGCAGACACGGAUGAGGUCACCGCGAUAAUUGCCCUCCCAGAAGGAUGGAUCUUGCGGGAAGAGGAUGUUGUGAAGCCGGCGAACUUGCCGGGGCGAAAAAAACACCUCGCACGCCCCUGGCCGGGAGUGCUCCGAGGGGAAACAUCCCCGGAGCGUGCCAGGAGCGGCGGGGGCAUGGCAGGAGAAGAGACGGCGGCAGCGGGAUGCGGAGCCGGGGAUAAUUGCUGCAGGAAGCCCCGUGACAGGUAUUUGAAAAGAAGCUGAGCACAAUCCUAUCAAACCUCCGCAGUUCCUGGGACAAGCCAGACUUUAAGGAGUCGGAGUCCGAGCGAGUUUCACAAGAAAACAAACAGAAAUACUUCUGUCGCUGCAGAGAACAGAAAAGGAAAAAAAAAAAAAUAAAAGAAAAAGAAGAAGUCGGGGGGGGGGAGAAAUCGCAGCACUGUGGAAAAAAAAAAUCAACUCUUUCCUGAAUAAAGCAGAAAAAAAAAAAAAAAAA